rnacentral:misc_RNA from 1 species
GAUGAAGAACGUAGUGAAAUGCGAUACGUAAUGUGAAUUGCAAAUUCAGUGAAUCAUCGAGUCUUUGAACGCACAUUGCGCCCCCUGGUAUUCCAGGGGGCAUGCCUGUCCGAGCGUCAUUGCUGCCCUCAAGCACGGCUUGUGUGUUGGGCCCCGUCCUCCGAUCCCGGGGGACGGGCCCGAAAGGCAGCGGCGGCACCGCGUCCGGUCCUCGAGCGUAUGGGGCUUUGUCACCCGCUCUGUAGGCCCGGCCGGCGCUUGCCGAUCAACCCAAAUUUUUAUCCAGGUUGACCUCGGAUCAGGUAGGGAUACCCGCUGAACUUAAGCAUAUCAAUAAGCGGAGGA